rnacentral:rRNA from 1 species
GACGAACGCUGGCGGCGUGCUUAACACAUGCAAGUCGAACGGAAAGGCCCUGCUUUUGUGGGGUGCUCGAGUGGCGAACGGGUGAGUAACACGUGAGUAACCUGCCCUUGACUUUGGGAUAACUUCAGGAAACUGGGCCUAAUACCGGAUAGGAGCUCCUGCUCCAUGGUGGGGUUUGGAAAGUUUCGGCGGUUGGGGAUGGACUCGCGGCUUAUCAGCUUGUUGGUGGGGUAGUGGCUUACCAAGGCUUUGACGGGUAGCCGGCCUGAGAGGGUGACCGGCCACAUUGGGACUGAGAUACGGCCCAGACUCCUACGGGAGGCAGCAGUGGGGAAUAUUGCACAAUGGGCGGAAGCCUGAUGCAGCAACGCCGCGUGCGGGAUGACGGCCUUCGGGUUGUAAACCGCUUUCGCCUGUGACGAAGCGUGAGUGACGGUAAUGGGUAAAGAAGCACCGGCUAACUACGUG